rnacentral:lncRNA from 1 species
CGGUUGUCGAAGCCGGUCAAAAAUAACCUUCUUGGUUAUCAACAAUUUACAACUGUAGAUAGUGGUGAAGGAUCGAAUCCACAGAGAAUUGAGAACCUAUUUAUUUUUCUCAACAAGACCAAGAGAAUUAACUGAAAUAAUAAUAAACUAAAAAAAUGAGAUAAACACUGAAAGUGGGAUCAAAUGAGAUAAACAAAAAAUGAGAUAAAAAUAAAUUGCAAUAAAAGUAAAAUGGAGGGUUUGAGAUUGAUUUAAUUAAUAAACUACUAAAAGCAAUUAAAAUAAACGAAUAAUAAAAUAAAAGAGAAAUAAAUAAUAAAAAAACUCUAGUUGAAGUAUUGGAUCCACUUUAGUCAUUGGGAUUGAUCACAGACACUUUGUUCUUUUGGGUUAAUUCAAUAGAUUAGUUUAUGGAGAUGGAAGACGCUUCUCACCACCAUUAUCUCUCCUUAUGAUUAAACCAAUUAGGGAACGUCCUCUAAUUAAUUACUAAUCAACAAAUUGCCAAGGAACGUCCUUGGGCCUUAGGCAUCAAAACAAUUGUCAAUUGCAUUAAGAAAUAGAGA